rnacentral:rRNA from 1 species
CGGACGGGUGAGUAACGCGUGAGGAACCUGCCUUUCAGAGGGGGACAACAGUUGGAAACGACUGCUAAUACCGCAUAACACAUAGGUGUCGCAUGGCAUUUAUGUCAAAGAUUUAUCGCUGAAAGAUGGCCUCGCGUCUGAUUAGCUAGUUGGUAGGGUAACGGCCUACCAAGGCGACGAUCAGUAGCCGGACUGAGAGGUUGGCCGGCCACAUUGGGACUGAGAUACGGCCCAGACUCCUACGGAAGGCAGCAG